UAAUAUUUUUUUUUUAAAUAUUAAUAUGUAAGAUUAACAUAAUUCAUAUUUUUAAGACUGAAUUUUUAGUUUUGAUAAUAUGAAAUUUUACUUUGAGAAAAUUAGAGUGCUUAAAGCAGGCUUUUGCCUUGAAUACUCCAGCAUGGAAUAAUAAUAAAAGAUUUUUAUCUUUUUUUUUAUUGGUUCUAAGAUAAAAAUAAUGAUUAAUAGGGACAGUUGGGGGCAUUUGUAUUUAACAGUCAGAGGUGAUAUUCUUAGAUUUGUUAAAGACAAACUAAUGCGAAAGCAUUUGCCAAGGAUGUUUUCAUUAAUCAAGAACGAAAGUUAGGGGAUCGAAGACG
rnacentral:rRNA from 1 species